AGCUUGGCGCAGUGACAGUAUCGUAACUAAUUAAUAUCGGUUUCAUCCGAGGUGUGAUUAUUGCUUGUUGAAAACUAAAACCAAUACCUCGCCUGAAGGACUCGCCUGUCUGGAUUAUUAUGAAAGGAAUGUAUUCC
rfam:Anopheles melas strain CM1001059_A cont2.20076, whole genome shotgun sequence.